UAAUAAUUUGAUGGGGCAGAGAAACGAAAAUGAAGCAGUAGCCGAGUUGUUUCUAAUCAAAAUAUCAAAUCUAUUGUAAAAUCGAUUUAGCUUAACGCACGAUUAGCAUAACUCGCCAACAUCUCUGCUAUAGUUAUUGAUAAUUUGUGGAUAAUAUGAACAAGAAAACAAUGCAGCUGAUUAUGCGAGUGGCUAAUGAGAGGAGUCACAGAUGAAGUCACAUUUCCGGCGCAGACAAACUUGAAAACCAGUCGCAUUAUUUGCACUGCGCAACGGUAGCCGUGGCAGAUGGAGACCCCGAAAUACAUACACUGAAGAAAAUCAAGUACUUCUUGAUCGUCAGAAACAACAAUUCAAACAGAGCAACAACACAUUGUGACAACAUGGGGCACAAACAAUGCAAAGCCCUGAGAACUGUUUGGACUUGUCAUCACUUGACGCUACCUUGAAGUGUGAAGCGGGUAGGGUAGGGAAGUGUGCGGCUAUGCUCGGCUCUGCGACUGACUGCAUUCGACAUACAGAUAAUUUGGUGGCACUGACGGUCUAAAUGCUGUCAGCUUCGGGCUGCCUGCCAUGAUUUAUCAGCGGAGACACCUCAGCGAUGGUUGCUGCAGAAGCUGCGCCUUUGGGGCACAGCCAAGUGGGCGUGCCAACAGACAUGCAUUGCUAAAGACAAUUGCCCCCCUGCUGAGAUGUAAAAUGCCUGCAGGGAUUAUCAAAAUGAAAAAAGGAAAUGCAUAAAAUAGAGGCAAGGCAGAGACUGGCAAGAUGAACGGAACAGAUGUCAGUUAUUUGCUAGAGACUUUUAUGCAUCUUAAAAUAUACUAAUGUAUCUGUAAGAUACUUUGUACCUAUGA